AAGUCUGACCGUACGAGUACAGACAACGGCAGACUCGAUAUCUGGUGGUGACACUGAGGAAAGACCCUUCAGAUUGCUUCCGUUUCCUCAGUUAAAUAGGAAGCAAAGUCAGCAGCUAAGAGUGACGAUGGGCGGAAGUGACGCCAGAGAUCUGAGAAAGAGAACUACGGGGGAACUGAAGUAGGUGCUGAACCCUCCUUGCGGCCGGUGGCCAUCGAUGCAGAGAAAGGCCAGCAGCAUGGAAGUGUGUUCGCCUCCAGCCACAUUCAGCCGCUCAGGCAAUGCUCAGAGCAGCCUGAGGAGGGGAUCUUCAGAGCUGGGGUUUUGCCAGUAUACUCCACAGUCAUCUGGGAGCACAGCAUUACUGACCAAGAUGCUUUUCCAAUCAGGACCAAAGCCUGACAUUCCUUCCAGUGAGUACUAAAGAGACACCUCAUUCAUUUGCAGGUUUUCAUUGUGGAAAAUGUUAAGCAUAUAAAAAAAAGAGAGAGAGACCAUAGUGAAUAGCCAACUCUAACGACUGCCAGCUUAUCGCCAACCUGCUUCCAAUGCUCCCCAUCGGCUUCCCCACCCCGAUUACUUAAAGCGUCACAUCAGACAUCAUGUCAUCUCGCUCAGCACUAUUUUUAGUUUAGAGUGAGGGCAACACAUCUUUAAGGGUUUAUCGGUUUUUUAAGUAAGUGCCUUUGAUUCAAUCUAGGGGUGAGGGUCUUUUGCAGUUACACGAUCUAACUUCAAGAUCCAGGAUCGCUUUUUUCUAAAGGGCCCCUUGCAUUACGGCAGCUGCGGAUCUACCAGCUGGAGAGGCGGGGGCGGGG